rnacentral:rRNA from 2 species
AGGUGUGAUCAUACCAGCACUAAUGCACUAGAUCCCAUCAUAACUCUGCAGAUAAACGUUCUUGUGCAAGAAUAGUACUAGAUGGGUGACCUCCUGGCAAGUCCUCGUGUUCCAUCUC